CCUACGGGUGGCAGCAGUGAGGAAUAUUGGUCAAUGGGCGAGAGCCUGAACCAGCCAAGUCGCGUGAGGGAGUACUGCCCUAUGGGUUGUAAACCUCUUUUGUCGGGGAGCAAAAGCCGGACGUUUCCGGCUGUGAGAGUACCCGAAGAAAAAGCAUCGGCUAACGCCGUGCCAGCAGCCGCGGUAAUACGGAGGAUUCGAGCGUUAGCCGGAUUUACUGGUGUUAAAGGGUGCGCAGGCGGAUGUUUAAGUCAGUGGUAAAAUCGUGGGGUUCAACCCCAUCCAGCAGUUGAAACUGGGGAUCUAGAGUGUGCGAGAGGUAUGCGGAAUGCGUGGUGUAGCGGUGAAAUGCAUAGAUAUCACGCAGAACCCCGAUUGCGAAGGCAGCAUACCGGUGCACAACUGACGCUCAGGCACGAAAGCGUGGGUAUCGAACAGGAUUAGAUACCCGAGUAGUC
rnacentral:rRNA from 1 species